CCACUGCUAUCGGGAUAGGACUAAGACAUGCUAGUUGAGCGCUUCCAGCCAAAACGGGAGCGCAGCGCACAGCUCAGUAACACGUGGCUAAUCUGCCCUUGGGACCGGAACACCCCCGGGAAACUGGGGCUAAUUCUCGAUAGGUGAAGAACUCUGGAAUGAGUCUUUGCCAAAAAGACGUUUACGUUAUGCUCGUAGGCGUCGCCCAAGGAUGAGGCCGCGACCGAUCAGGUUGUUGGUGAGGUAAUGGCUCAUCAAGCCUUUUACCGGUGCGGGCCGUGAGAGCGGGAGCCCGGAGAUGGGCACUGAGACAAGGGCCCAGGCCCUACGGGGCGCAGCAGUCGCGAAAACUUUGCAAUACACGAAAGUGUGACAGGGCUAUCCCGAGUGCCAUCCGCUGAGGAAGGCUUUUACCCAGUCUAGAACGCUGGGGGAAUAAGGAGAGGGCAAGUCUGGUGUCAGCCGCCGCGGUAAUACCAGCUCUCCGAGUGGUGUGGAUGUUUAUUGGGCCUAAAGCAUCCGUAGCUGGCUGAGUUAGUCCCUUGUUAAAUCCACCGAAUUAAUCGUUGGAUUGCGGGGGAUACUGCUCGGCUAGGGGACGAGAGAGGCAGACGGUAUUUCUGGGGUAGGGGUGAAAUCCUAUAAUCCCAGGAGGACCACCAGUGGCGAACGCUGUCUGCUAGAACGCGCCCGACGGUGAGGGAUGAAAGCUGGGGGAGCGAACCGGAUUAGAUACCCGGGUAGUCCCAGCUGUAAACGAUGCAGACUA
rnacentral:rRNA from 1 species